rnacentral:lncRNA from 1 species
UUUGAACACGGGGAAUGACUAGUUGCUUAAGCGUUCACGUUAGGGUCACACAAUCAAUUACCUCCUGAAUGUAUCGUCUCUAUUUCCAAUAUCUGAACACACAAGGAAACUAUAAUCUCCUCCUUCACCUUAUCGGUCUCUUCCUUAUAGCAAUUCAGUCAUACUAAUAACUAUUAUUUCCACCAAUACAUUCACCCUCAUAAUCUCCAACUGUAAUACUACGCCCUUACAGCUUUCAUCACACAAUUACCCUCGUUCCAAUCACUCGAAUUCUUCACACAGAACUGCCAUUCAUAUUAUAGUGUUUCACACAAAUACAGACUCAUUCUCUUUGCUGAACUACAAUCAGAUUUUAGCAUUCAAUCUUUCUUCUUCUCAAAUAAUACCAAUCACAUUUCUAUUCCAUAAUUCACUUCACAAUAUUCAAAAACUCUCAAUCCUCUUAUUCAAAGAAAAUAACAAACAAAAGAAAAGAAGUAGCACCAAGCUUACCCCGGCUCAUACUAUCACAACGAUGGCUCCUUAAUUAACUUCUACAACUCCUAUAUACUUUUCUCUGAUUCUCCAGAUUUUAACCAUAAUUCUAUAAUUAAUCACUUUUAAUAACUAAAUCACUUAUCCGUCCUUCUGAAUUUCCUAUUAUAUGGACUAUUAAUAUAUUUUACCAAUAUCUUUCAAAAACGAAUUAAUAUCUAUUCUACAAGACUAGACUAUCUCAAAAAAAUCCAAGAUCCUUCUAUUCCAUAGCAACAUAAAACCUCAUCACAAAAUAAGAUUAAACAGAUCAAAACAGUAAUGAAUGGAACUAAAGAGAAUAGGAUAUGAAAGUCGAACUGAGCAAACAAAAAUAAAAUAUAGAUGAAUUGAACAAAAAGAUGUAAAAUCAAAUUUUACUAAAAAAAAAGGGUCU